rnacentral:rRNA from 1 species
AGAGUUUGAUCAUGGCUCAGAUUGAACGCUGGCGGCAUGCCUAACACAUGCAAGUCGAACGGCAGCGCGGGCUUCGGCCUGGCGGCGAGUGGCGGACGGGUGAGGAAUACAUAGGAAUCUGCCCAGUCGUGGGGGAUAACCCGGGGAAACCCGGACUAAUACCGCAUACGACGGUGACGUGAAAGCCGGGGACCUUCGGGCCUGGCGCGAUUGGAUGAGCCUAUGUCGGAUUAGCUAGUUGGCGGGGUAAAGGCCCACCAAGGCGACGAUCCGUAGCUGGUCUGAGAGGAUGAUCAGCCACACUGGGACUGAGACACGGCCCAGACUCCUACGGGAGGCAGCAGUGGGGAAUAUUGGACAAUGGGCGCAAGCCUGAUCCAGCAAUGCCGCGUGGGUGAAGAAGGCCUUCGGGUUGUAAAGCCCUUUUGUACGGGAAGAAAUCAUCCGGGUUAAUACCCUGGGUGGAUGACGGUACCGUAAGAAUAAGCACCGGCUAACUUCGUGCCAGCAGCCGCGGUAAUACGAAGGGUGCAAGCGUUAAUCGGAAUUACUGGGCGUAAAGCGUGCGUAGGUGGUUGUUCAAGUCUGUCGUGAAAGCCCUGGGCUCAACCUGGGAAUGGCGAUGGAAACUGGGCGACUGGAGUGCGGUAGAGGAUGGCGGAAUUCCCGGUGUAGCGGUGAAAUGCGUAGAGAUCGGGAGGAACAUCCGUGGCGAAGGCGGCCAUCUGGACCAGCACUGACACUGAGGCACGAAAGCGUGGGGAGCAAACAGGAUUAGAUACCCUGAUAGUCCACGCCCUAAACGAUGCGAACUGGAUGUUGGUCUCAACUUGGAGAUCAGUGUCGAAGCUAACGCGUUAAGUUCGCCGCCUGGGGAGUACGG